rnacentral:rRNA from 1 species
AUGGCAUCCGGUACAUCAUCACCGAGAGGGCAAGAACCACAACAGUUAGACAAAGAGCUCCUGAAAGCAGCCAAAUAUGGUGAUUCCACACACAUGCAGGCCAUGGCGUCACAUGAUCGGAACAUACUCCAUGGAAAAACUCUGCAGGGGAACACAUGCCUCCACAUUUCCUGCAUUUAUGGCCACGUGGGAUUCUGCAAGGACGUGCUGGAACUGGAAGAUUCUCUCAUCAGCGCUGUAAACCUCGACGAGGAGACACCACUUAUCACCUCAGUGAGAAAUGGUCACGUCUCCUUGGCUUCUUUUUUACUCGGUCGACACUGCUCUGUGCACCAUGGAUUGAGACAGGCAAUCCUGCAGCAAGACAGGUAUGGAUUUAAUGCACUGCACCAUGCAAUUAGCAAUGGCCAAAAAGAUCUUGCCUUGGAGUUGAUAGAAGCAGAGCCUGCGCUGUCACAAGCUGUGGGCAAGCAUAAUGAGUCACCCAUGUUCUUCGCGGUGAUGAGAAAUUUUACACCUGUUUAUGAGAAACUAUUGCAAAAUCCUUUGUCUGCGUGCUCGGGAGGACAACACUGUCAAAAUUGUCUACAUGCUGCAGUUAUGAAUGGGGAUCAAGAAUUCGUGAAACUAAUCAUGAAGAAACGUCCUGAAUUGGCCAGAGAAGUUGACACAGCCCACGAAACACCAAUAGCACUUGCUGUACGAUUCAACAAGAUUGGCAUUUUACAACUAAUGCUGGAACAUGAUUCAACCCUAGGGUACUUAACAGGCCACAAUGGGUUUCCUCUCCUUCAUGUUGCGGCACAUCGAGGUCAGGUUGCUGCUGCUCGAAUGCUUCUGGAACACUGUCCCGAUGCUCCUUAUAUUGAAUCAGAUGGUUUGACAUGUCUUCACAUAGCUGUAUGGUUUGAUCAACCGGAGUUUGUUGAGUUUGUCCUGAGGACGCCAAUACUUCGCAAGCUUGUUAACGUGCAAGACAACAACGGAAAAACCGCUCUCCAUAAUGCUGUCACAAAGUGCAAUCCUAGAAUUGUUGCUGCUUUAUUGUCUCACGUGGAUAUAGAUGCAACACUACUUGACAACCACAGUAGACCAGCGUCCUGGGAACUCUCGGACGUUACGCUGAACGCCAAGACAUUAAACUGGAAUGAAGUGGCCAUGCUUAUUUCGAAAGCUAAUCCACAAAAUGCUUCCGUUCUUCAUAAUCUUCAAGUGCAAGCCAAACGACAGAUGACUGAUGAAUCAAGGAAGAAUGCAAAGUCACUAACUCAAACAUACACAAGCAACACUUCGUUAGUGGCGAUUCUUAUUGCGACAAUCACCUUUGCUGCUGCCUUCACCCUUCCAGGAGGAUACAGCAAUGAUGCAGGAAGCGAGGGACUUCCCAUCAUGUCUAGGAAUUUUGCAUUUCAGGCAUUCUUGAUCUCUGAUGUCUUAGCAAUGUGCUCCUCAUUUGCUGUGGCCUUCAUAUGCAUUAUAGCAAGGUGGGAGGACUAUGAGUUCUUGGUUUAUUACACAUCCUUCACUAAGAAGCUCAUGUGGUUUGCAUAUGUGACAACAACUACAGCCUUUUCAACUGGUUUAUACACGGUGCUCGCUCCACGUGUCCACUGGUUAGCGAUUGCAAUUUGUGUUAUGGUAGCUUUACUGCCCAUUCUCACAAAGCUGCUGGGCGAAUGGCCUAUCUUGAAGCUCAGACUUAAGCUGGGUAAAGAUUUCAACUCGGAUUUCCUUGAUAUGGUCUGA